UACGUAGGGUGCGAGCGUUGUCCGGAAUUAUUGGGCGUAAAGGGCUCGUAGGCGGUUUCUUAAGUCAGAUGUGAAAGCCCCGGGCUUAACCUGGGACUGCGUUUGAAACUGGGAGACUUGAGUGUGGCAGAGGGGGGUGGAAUUCCACGUGUAGCAGUGAAAUGCGUAGAGAUGUGGAGGAACACCAGUGGCGAAGGCGACUCUUUGGCCUGUAACUGACGCUGAGGCGCGAAAGCGUGGGGAGCGAACAGG
rnacentral:rRNA from 1 species